AUUGAACGCUGGCGGCAGGCUUAACACAUGCAAGUCGAGCGGGGGAAGGUAGCUUGCUACCGGACCUAGCGGCGGACGGGUGAGUAAUGCUUAGGAAUCUGCCUAUUAGUGGGGGACAACAUCUCGAAAGGGAUGCUAAUACCGCAUACGUCCUACGGGAGAAAGCAGGGGAUCUUCGGACCUUGCGCUAAUAGAUGAGCCUAAGUCGGAUUAGCUAGUUGGUGGGGUAAAGGCCUACCAAGGCGACGAUCUGUAGCGGGUCUGAGAGGGUGAUCCGCCAAACUGGGACUGAGACACGGCCCAGACUCCUACGGGGGGCAGCAGUGGGGAAUAUUGGACAAUGGGGGGAACCCUGAUCCAGCCAUGCCGCGUGUGUGAAGGAGGCCUUAUGGUUGUAAAGCACUUUAAGCGAGGAGGAGGCUACUUUAGUUAAUACCGAGAGAUAGUGGACGUUACUCGCAGAAUAAGCACCGGCUAACUCUGUG
rnacentral:rRNA from 1 species